rnacentral:lncRNA from 1 species
GUGCACUAGUUAACUCAAGUGAGAACGGAGUAUGUAUUUCUAAAAGGGGACGACCAUACGAGUUAGAAGGAAAGCUUCCCAAGCCUGGUGAUCUAAACCUGUGUAAUGCCUUCCAUGACAAGACUUGCUGGUCUGCUUCAUUAGCUCUCCAAAACCUAGCUACGCAUGGAGAAGCUUCUAAAGAUGAGAAACAACCAAACACGCCUUAUGCUACCUAAGGAUGAUGUGGUUGCGCAUAUUCUGGACUACCUAACGGAUGAAGAGCGCCUAAUGAUCGAAGAUGCAAAUAAUCGAGGGUUGAGGAUCAGAGUGUACGACAGCAAUACUGAGUCUUUGCAUCAGCUGACUUUGAAAAAGUGGCAUUCAAGUGGAAGCUAUGUGUUCAUUAGCAAUUGGAAUGAGCAAUUUGUUAUAAGAAGAAACCUCGAAGCUGGCGAUUUAAUUGGACUCUUUUGGAAUACUUAUGCGUCAAGGCUCCACUUUCGUGUGAUUAGGCGUCAUUAUGACCAUUGAUUUCAAGGAUUUCUUUUUUAUUUUAAGAUUUAAAAUAUUAUAGAUGUGUGUGGGUUUUGUGUUAAAUUCACGUUUUUUAUUAGUUUCUAAUUUAAACCCAGUUGUGAUAAAUAAUUAAAUUGACUAAAAACUUUUUAUAUAUAUAUAUAUAUAUAUAUAUAUAUAGUUUGAUCAAUAAAAAUAUAUAUAUAUAUAUAUAUAGUUAGUUAAUUCAGUUGUUCAUUCAAUCAGUAACAUCAUGUUAUUACCAUUCAUAUUGCAGUGUCUUCUAAGGAGUUUCUUUUUCGUUCAUCUCAAUUGUAUUAGUUAUGAACCGGAUUGGUUUUCAAUAAACCGAACAAUAUAAAACUCGAGAUUGUGAACCACGAGAUUUAACGGUCAAUGUACUAUUCCCACGUUGGUUCAUAAUAUCGUUUCAAGUAGCGCGCUCUAUUUAUUUCCUAAAAGAGAAAGUGUUACCUACUACACACAUAUAGCUGAGAAGAGAGGGGUAAAUCUAUUUGUAAAAAAAAAGAAACCAGAUUGAGUAAUUCUUGCACUCUCUCGUCUUCCUCUUUCGCUUCGAGAUAAUACUGUAUAUCCCUGCGUAGAGAUCAGUCGAGAAAGAUGGGAGGAUUCUCUACGAAGAAGAUGAUGUUUCAGCAGCUUCUUACUUCAGUCCUGUUGCUUCAUCUCUUGAUCUCGUCUUCUUCUGGUGAGUAUCGAAUACUAAUGCUGUUCAAAACCAUCUUUGUUUGUUCAUUAAAGUUACCAUCUUGAUUCGUUAUGUUGCAAAGAAACCUCUUUUGAAAUUGCGAUGUCAUACUAAAAGAUCUUCAUAGUAAAAAAGAUGGACAUCUCGUUGCAAUGGCAAGACUUGUUCUCUCUAUUUCAUAUAGAAUCAAAACAUUGCAAGAAAAUCUUAUACAAAAAGUGUUGUUGAAUCUUCGAGCGUUGUUGUUGUUGUUAUUCAGGUGCACUAGUUAACUCAAGUGAGAACGGAGUAUGUAUUUCUAAAAGGGGACGACCAUACGAGUUAGAAGGAAAGCUUCCCAAGCCUGGUGAUCUAAACCUGUGUAAUGCCUUCCAUGACAAGACUUGCUGGUCUGCUUCAUUAGCUCUCCAAAACCUAGCUACGCAUGGAGAAGCUUCUAAAGAUUGCUUCUACUUCUAUGAUCUUU